GAUGAACGCUAGCGAUAGGCCUAACACAUGCAAGUCGAGGGGCAUCACAUGAAGUAGCAAUACGGAUGGUGGCGACCGGCGCACGGGUGAGUAACACGUAUGCAACCUGCCUUCAACAAGGGGAUAACCCGUUGAAAGACGGACUAAUACCCUAUAACACAGGGGUCCCGCAUGGGAAUAUUUGUUAAAGGACAACCGGUUGAAGAUGGGCAUGCGUUCCAUUAGCUAGUUGGCGGGGUAAGGGCCCACCAAGGCAACGAUGGAUAGGGGAACUGAGAGGUUUAUCCCCCACACUGGUACUGAGACACGGACCAGACUCCUACGGGAGGCAGCAGUGAGGAAUAUUGGUCAAUGGACGCAAGUCUGAACCAGCCACGUCGCGUGAAGGAAGACGGCCCUACGGGUUGUAAACUUCUUUUGCAAGGGAAUAAAGUGGGCCACGUGUGGCCUUUUGCAAGUACCUUGCGAAUAAGGAUCGGCUAACUCCGUGCCAGCAG
rnacentral:rRNA from 1 species